rnacentral:rRNA from 1 species
CCCAAGAGUUCAUAUCGACGGCGUGGUUUGGCACCUCGAUGUCGGCUCGUCGCAUCCUGGGGCUGGAGAAGGUCCCAAGGGUCCGGCUGUUCGCCGGUUAAAGCGGCACGCGAGCUGGGUUCAGAACGUCGCGAGACAGUUCGGUCCUCUAUCCUCUGUGGGCGUUGGAAAAUUGAGGGGUUCAGACCUUAGUACGAGAGGACCGGGUCUGACGCACCACUGGUGCAUCGGUUGUACUGUCAAGUGCAUGGCCGAGUAGCUAAGUGCGGACGGGAUAAGCGCUGAAAGCAUCUAAGCGCCAAGCCCUUCCCAAGAUGAGUUUUCCCUACAGGUUCGUGGAAGACCACCACGUUGAUAGGUCGCAGGUGUAAGUGCAGCAAUGUAUUGAGCCGAGCGAUACUAAUUACCAAUUGACUUCAUCAU